AUUGAACGCUGGCGGCAUGCCUUACACAUGCAAGUCGAACGGCAGCACGGGAGCAAUCCUGGUGGCGAGUGGCGAACGGGUGAGUAAUAUAUCGGAACGUGCCCAGUCGUGGGGGAUAACGCAGCGAAAGCUGUGCUAAUACCGCAUACGCUCUCCGGAUGAAAGCGGGGGCUCGAAAGACCUCGCGCGAUUGGAACGGCCGGGAACAGAUUAGCUAGUUGGUGAGGUAAAGGCUCACCAAGGCGACGAUCUGUAGCUGGUCUGAGAGGACGACCAGCCACACUGGAACUGAGACACGGUCCAGACUCCUACGGGAGGCAGCAGUGGGGAAUUUUGGACAAUGGGCGAAAGCCUGAUCCAGCAAUGCCGCGUGCAGGAUGAAGGCCUUCGGGUUGUAAACUGCUUUUGUACGGAACGAAACGGUGAGCUCUAAUACAGUUUGCUAAUGACGGUACCGUAAGAAUAAGCACCGGCUAACUACGUGCCAGCAGCCGCCGCGG
rnacentral:rRNA from 1 species